rnacentral:rRNA from 1 species
UACGUAGGAUGCGAGCGUUGUCCGGAUUCAUUGGGCGUAAAGAGUUCGUAGGUGGCAUAUCAAGUCUGGUGUUAAAGCUCGGGGCUCAACUCCGAUUCGGCACUGGAUACUGGUAAGCUUGAGUGCAGUAGAGGCAAGGGGAAUUCCCAGUGUAGCGGUGAAAUGCGUAGAUAUUGGGAGGAACACCGGUGGCGUAAGCGCCUUGCUGGGCUGUUACUGACGCUGAGGAACGAAAGCCGGGGGAG